AGCGAACGCUGGCGGCAGGCCUAACACAUGCAAGUCGAACGAACUCUUCGGAGUUAGUGGCGGACGGGUGAGUAACACGUGGGAACGUGCCUUUUGGUUCGGAAUAACUCAGGGAAACUUGUGCUAAUACCGAAUGUGCCCUUCGGGGGAGAGAUUUAUCGCCAUUAGAGCGGCCCGCGUCUGAUUAGCUAGUUGGUGAGGUAACGGCUCACCAAGGCGACGAUCAGUAGCUGGUCUGAGAGGAUGACCAGCCACACUGGGACUGAGACACGGCCCAGACUCCUACGGGAGGCAGCAGUGGGGAAUCUUGCGCAAUGGGCGAAAGCCUGACGCAGCCAUGCCGCGUGAAUGAUGAAGGUCUUAGGAUUGUAAAAUUCUUUCACCGGGGACGAUAAUGACGGUACCCGGAGAAGAAGCCCCGGCUAACUUCGUG
rnacentral:rRNA from 1 species